UUCUUCGGAUUGAUUCUUAACUGACUGAGCGGCGGACGGGUGAGUAACGCGUGGGUGACCUGCCCCAUACCGGGGGAUAACAGCUGGAAACGGCUGCUAAUACCGCAUAAGCGCACAGAGCUGCAUGGCUCGGUGUGAAAAACUCCGGUGGUAUGGGAUGGGCCCGCGUCUGAUUAGGCAGUUGGCGGGGUAACGGCCCACCAAACCGACGAUCAGUAGCCGGCCUGAGAGGGCGACCGGCCACAUUGGGACUGAGACACGGCCCAAACUCCUACGGGAGGCAGCAGUGGGGAAUAUUGCACAAUGGGGGAAACCCUGAUGCAGCGACGCCGCGUGAGCGAAGAAGUAUUUCGGUAUGUAAAGCUCUAUCAGCAGGGAAGAUAAUGACGGUGCCUGACUAAGAAGCCCCGGCUAACUACGUGCCAGCAGCCGCGGUAAUACGUAGGGGGCAAGCGUUAUCCGGAUUUACUGGGUGUAAAGGGAGCGUAGACGGCAAGGCAAGUCUGAUGUGAAAACCCAGGGCUUAACCCUGGGACUGCAUUGGAAACUGUCUGGCUCGAGUGCCGGAGAGGUAAGCGGAAUUCCUAGUGUAGCGGUGAAAUGCGUAGAUAUUAGGAAGAACACCAGUGGC
rnacentral:rRNA from 1 species